AAGACCUUGCACUUUUGGAGCGGCCGAUGUCUGAUUAGCUAGUUGGUGGGGUAAUGGCCUACCAAAGCUUCGAUCAGUAGCUGGUCUGAGAGGACGGCCAGCCACACUGGGACUGAGACACGGCCCAGACUCCUACGGGAGGCAGCAGUGGGGAAUUUUGGACAAUGGGCGCAAGCCUGAUCCAGCCAUGCCGCGUGAGUGAAGAAGGCCUUCGGGUUGUAAAGCUCUUUCAGCCGGGAAGAGAAGGUUGCGAUUAAUAAUCGCAAUUUAUGACGGUACCGGAAGAAGAAGCACCGGCUAACUACGUGCCAGCAGCCGCGGUAAUACGUAGGGUGCGAGCGUUAAUCGGAAUUACUGGGCGUAAAGGGUGCGCAGGCGGUUUUGUAAGUCAGAUGUGAAAUCCCCGGGCUUAACCUGGGAACU
rnacentral:rRNA from 1 species